rnacentral:rRNA from 1 species
AACACAUGCAAGUCGAACGGUAACAGGUCUUCGGACGCUGACGAGUGGCGAACGGGUGGAGUAAUACAUCGGAACGUGCCCAGUCGUGGGGGAUAACUACUCGAAAGAGUAGCUAAUACCGCAUACGAUCUGAGGAUGAAAGCGGGGGACCUUCGGGCCUCGCGCGAUUGGAGCGGCCGAUGGCAGAUUAGGUAGUUGGUGGGAUAAAAGCAUACCAAGCCGACGAUCUGCAGCUGGUCUGAGAGGACGACCAGCCACACUGGGACUGAGACACGGCCCAGACUCCUACGGGAGGCAGCAGUGGGGAAUUUUGGACAAUGGGCGAAAGCCUGAUCCAGCAAUGCCGCGUGCAGGAUGAAGGCCUUCGGGUUGUAAACUGCUUUUGUACGGAACGAAAAAGCUUCUCCUAAUACGAGAGGCCCAUGACGGUACCGUAAGAAUAAGCACCGGCUAACUACGUGCCAGCCGCCGCGGUAAUAC